AGAGUUUGAUCAUGGCUCAGAUUGAACGCUGGCGGCGUGCCUAACACAUGCAAGUCGAGCGGUAACAGGUGUAGCAAUACAUGCUGACGAGCGGCGAACGGGUGAGUAAUGCUUUGGAAUCUUCCCAGUAGUGGGGAAUAACCAGUCGAAAGAUUGGCUAAUACCGCAUACGUCUGUAAAGGGAAAGCGGGGGCUCGUAAGACCUCGCGCUAUUGGAUGAGCCAAAGUCGGAUUAGCUAGUUGGUGGGGUAAUGGCCUACCAAGGCGACAAUCCGUAGCUGGUCUGAGAGGACGACCAGCCACACCGGAACUGAGACACGGUCCGGACUCCUACGGGAGGCAGCAGUGGGGAAUAUUGGACAAUGGGGGAAACCCUGAUCCAGCGACGCCGCGUGUGUGAAGAAGGCCUGCGGGUUGUAAAGCACUUUUAGUGGGGACAGAAAGCUACGGACUAAUACUCUGUGGUCUUGAUUUAACCCAAAGAAAAAGCACCGGCUAACUCUGUGCCAGCAGCCGCGGUAAUACAGAGGGUGCGAGCGUUAAUCGGAAUUACUGGGCGUAAAGCGCGCGUAGACGGUUUUGUAAGUCAGAUGUGAAAUCCCUGGGCUCAACCUGGGAACUGCAUUUGAAACUGCAUGGCUAGAGUAUCGAAGAGGGAAGUGGAAUUUCCGGUGUAGCGGUGAAAUGCGUAGAUAUCGGAAGGAACACCAGUGGCGAAAGCGACUUCCUGGUCGAAUACUGACGUUCAUGUGCGAAAGCGUGGGGAGCAAACAGGAUUAGAUACCCUAGUAGUCC
rnacentral:rRNA from 1 species